CUCCUAGCCUCACCCAUUCCAUGGUAGGAGCACUCCUCAUCUAUUCCGUGCCAAAAGCAUUCCUUGAGCCGGAACCACACCAAACAGGCACUUAAUUAUUGCUAUAUUUUUUUUAUUAUUUGCAACAUUCUAUGCCUCUCAUACAUAUUCAAUGCUACAACGCUCAUGCCUAUAUGUAUAUAGUUUGCUGCCUAUUCCAUGUCAGAAGCACCAAAUAGGCACUUAAUUAUUACUUUCUUUUAUUAUUAAACAAGCCAAACAGGCACUUAAUUAUGACAUUUUUUAUUAUUGGCAACAUUUUAUGCCUGCCAUACAUUCCAUGCAUGCUACCAGCCUUAGCAGUGAACACGUACCAAACAGGCACUUAAUAUUAUUUUAAUAUAAUUAGUUAUAUUAAAAUAAUAUUAUUUCAGUAAAAAUUUGGAGGUGUUGCCAACUGUGGAGUCACUAGCCGCCUGUAAUUAACCUCAUUUUACAUUAUAGGCAAGCUGUGUGUAGCAAUACUUAUUAGCCUUGGAGGGGUGGGCUUAAGCGACCUGCGCUGCUACUGUGCUGUUUUCUGGUCCUUCGUCUGUAGACUGUGGCUUGUUUCGGUAGCUACUUGUCCAUGUGAAGCCGAUCUGGGCUGGUUGUGAUGUGCUCCACGUAUAGGGAAAAAACAUGCUAGCCACACAGCAGGACAGGUAGCUAAUUAACGCUACAUGUUGAUUUUCAUAAACUGUAUUAUUUUAUUUUUUUUAUAUCUUUUUUUUUUGCUGAUCCAUAUCAUUAGUUUUCCAAUUAUUUUGUGAAAACUGAAAACAUAUGCUUAUCUUAACAAAAAUGUGUGAAACUAAAUGUGGUAACAAGUAAUGAAUGGUUUGUGAAGAACAAUUUCCCCAUAUAAAAUGAUCAGUAAAAUUUAUCGAUGGUUCUAUGCAACUUUAUAUAUAAGACUAAAAACUCGAAAGUUGUAGAUCUCAUCAAACAGUAAACCUUUCUUAAAUUAAUUGUUGUGCUAGUAUAGUAAGGUUAGAAAGUAGGAUGUAAAAAUUUUGUACAAUCAGACAAGAACACAUCUUUAGACACGUGAGUGAUUCUAGCUAAGCGAUAGGUCUAAAUUUCACGAGAAUUAUAGAUUAGACCAAUUCAUUUCAACUUGGAUGCAGUAUUUUGAUGGACCAGUACAAAUAUUGAUAAAUACUGUUUAAAAGAGCUACAGCCAGCUAUAACAACAACUUUGGCUGGAUAUUUGUUAUCUUACAUCUAGUACACGCGAAACAAAAUUAAUUAACUAGAGGGGUACACCAGCUAGCGAGCUACUUAGGUUCCCGUCGCCAUGUUCAGGCCGCCUUUGGCAGUUGUGGGAGCACGGCAGAGCAGGCAGGUCGCAUCACACAGCCAUGGCUCGACUUCGAUGCAGGUAGUAUGGAAGCAAUGCAGGCCAGCCGUCUCCGGACCAGUACGUGCACUUCAGCGCUGGUACGUACCUGAGCUGGUGCCAACACUUCUGUGCUCAUAGCUGGGCAGAUUCACAUGAGGUUCACGGUGAUCUACCAACUACAAUGUCUAUUAAUUAAGAAUGCAGGACAUCAGUUUUUAAAAAAAAAUCAGUGCAUCUCUAUCUCUAUCAAUAUCUCCAUCUCUAUCUCUAUCUCUACUUUAUACAUAUACUGCUAAAUAGAGGAUUGUUUUCUUCUUUUAUGGCUUCUAGAAGACUCGAUCAAGCACUUAUAGAUUUUAAAGCUAUCGAAUUGAUAUCUGGGAAAAAUGCUGCAUCCUGAAAAACCAAUGACUGCUACCUGCAAAAUAGCACCAUUCUAAGCUUAUAUAGUUUGACAAAAACAUUUCUUUCACUACAACAGAUUUCAUUUUCGCAGCAUCGGUUUCACCACCGGUUUUUAUAGAACUGGUGGUGGCGAAGUUUCACCUCUGGGUUCAAAGGUUGGUGGGGUACUGUGAGGCGACAAACAAUUGGCAGUGAAAAUUGUUUUCAUCACCGGUCACCAUAUAAUCUGGUGGUCAAAAUUGUUUUCACUGCCUGCCAGUUGUCAUAUGAUCGGUGAAAAUCAUUGUGGUCAUCGCAGUCGGAUCAUAUGCCAAGCCCGUGGUGACGGUUAUAGAGAUAUAUACACUUUAAGAACAAAUUGAUGGUUUCAUUAUCGACCAAGUCUUGAAUCUGAAUGG
rnacentral:lncRNA from 1 species